CAAUUACUAUAACAAACUUAAAUUUUUUUGUAUUUCUCUCAAAAAUUAGAGGAGAUCAAGCAGAUAAACCAUGGCUUCUGUUAAACAUGUUCUGAAAUUCAGUACAGUUGUGAACUACUUUUCUGGAGCUGACAAUACGAAACUUAUUUCCACAGUAGAAAAUGCAGUGGAAUCAAACUAAAUGAAAAAAUUAUAUUCAGUUAUAACGCAGGAAAAUCGGUAAAAAUCUUUUGACUCCUCAGAAGGUGGAUCAAUAUGUAAAAGAUUAAAAACAGAGAACCUAGUAUCUCUUGGCUACAUAUUCAACUCAUUAGAUCAUCUAUAACCAUGUGUGAAGAGGAUUCAUCUAAUAAAAGUG